UUUCGAAGUUUUUUUAUAUUUUAAACCUGUCAUCCUUUUUGAAAUUUUCUUCUUUUUUUUUUUUUCCUUUUCCUUUGUGACCUUAUUCCCUUGUUAGAGGCACAAUUAGGGGAAAUAACCUAUAGUUUACUAGUCCUAGAGCAGUAGUGACCUAUCUCCCUUACUUUGUUACUCGAGGAGCAGAGGGCCGCAACAAGAUGCGGGUCUAACUGCGGAAGGAUAAUUCUCGGGAGUUCCAGAUGAGAGGCAGGCUGUUGAAAGCAUGUCUGGCCUUGUUGAUGCGGCUUUUGAUGUCACCAUCCUUGUUGACAAUGCACCCCAGACACGCGAAACGGUCUGUUUCGAGGAUUUUCUCUUCUAGAAGUUGGAUUGGGAACCUAUCUCCUCUAAGUUGUCCUAUAAAGUCUCGUGCAAAAUAUUUUAAAAAUUACUAACUUGACUUCUGAAAAUGAUUUAAUAUUGGAUUGGCACCGAAAAUGAGUAACUGGUGACAAUUUCAGGCCUCUAGGACGGUGGGAAGUGGGUGAGAAAUCGAUUACAAAAUUCCAACCAAAUACAGAGUGCAUCUAUGCUAAUAAAGAGAGAGAGAGGAAGGGGUAUGAAUCGAGUCUUUUAAAAAAAAAUCGUUAAUUAGAAGAGUUUAAAGUUUAGUCAUUUAUCAAGAUGGCAGACCAGCUCUCCAGAAUAUGUGAUUAUCAUGCCGCUCAACUGUAUUUAUACUUGAUCUUUUAAUCAUGCAAAACCGUUGCUUCCUCAAGUCUUCAGCAACGGAUACAAAUUAUGACCAUGAUAGAAUGGUUAGAUGCAUCAAGUCUUAUGGAUUGAUCGAUGGAUAGAUAGACAGUAGUAGAAGACAACGCCCGGGUCUCAAAUAACGGUUUCUGAAUCAGCUAAAAUGCAUUAGAAAAUUGCACACGUUAACACAUAUCUUAGAAUAUUUUGCAAAUUGUGAUCUUUUAGUGUAAAGUCUUCGAUCUCCUCGCUCUCGUUCGCUGGCUUGCUCGUAGCAAUAAGGGAAAUGACUGAAUUGUGCAUUAUUUGACAUAAAAGGAUGUAAAUCCACACAUUAAAAGUGGGAGUGUCUACAGAAUUGUUGUCGACCUAAUAAUUAGAAUCAAUGAUUUGCCGAUGACUGUCUGAACGAUCGACUCAUUUGAUGGUGCUUGCGACCUGAGAAAUGUUACAGACAUGCCGGCCACUGAUAACCGAGAUUAAGAACAAACUGCGUAGUUAAAGAAACAAGGUGGUCCGAAAAUAGAUCAAACAAUGCUUGUUUACCGCUACUGCUGCAGACACGUAACCAUAUGCCUCUUGGUCAUCCAACUGGAAAUUAUAGGUCACUGAAAAAUCUGCCCACUAAACGGCUGCUAAGUGUUUACGUCCGAAUCACAAGACUUGCUGCGAAAACCAAAAUUAUUUCUCCUUAUAAGUAUGAACUAGAUUCCUGUAUGCCCUGUGACCACAAUAAAUAGCGGUAGGAUUAUGAUAAACAAGACCGUUAAACUUCAUUUUACAGCGCGGGUGCGAGUUACGAGAAUCUGCAUCAUUUUACAGCACGAGCUCGUCACGAGAGUCUGUAUCGUAUCACACCACGGGUUCGAGUCACGGCAAGGUUUCUCCACAAGGCCGAAUUUUUUUCGUCUGGUGCAUCUCCCACGCUAUAAAGGCAGUGCAAGACUUUGGAGUCGGAACUGGCGAGUCGUAGUGUAUCACCGAGUAUCUGUGGCUUGCUCAUUUAUAACAGAGGCUUAACCUUCUGCGCCCUACUUCCGGUCACUAGCAUAAAAUUAUUGAAGCGACAGCUACAAAGACAGAAAAGUCAAGCCAUGUCAGCUCUGGAGGGGAAUACCGCAUGAGAAGCAAGAAAUAAUAUGGAAAAAAUUCCAAAAGGAGCUCUACAAACUCAUUUUGUUGACCUAUCUGUGAACAGUGGGAGACAGAGACACCGUGACGAUACUGAGGACUGAUCGAGCAGAAGAUGGACAGAGCGACGGGACGCAGUGACGGUCCGGCAGUUAGUCCAGACGCCGCCAUGGCGACGAGCAGUAUGUCCGGAGAGCUGCAGCGCCUUCAUUUUUGCCACGUGUGCAGGAGCUACUGCGUCGUGAACUCAGAAGGUAAAUAAAAAAAAAAAAUCUUUUUCUUUUCAUCACCCUCGUCAUCUCUUUCUCUCCUCUGUCUCUGCAGUCCUCAUUUUUCGAGAGAGAAAUCUUCUUUCAUAACAUGACAGUGAUGACACAAAGGGGGUUGUACUCUGUCAUUGUCUCUGUCACUAUUGCUUUCCUUCCAGUUCUGUCUUCUUCUGCCAUUGUUCCUUAUUCUAGUCUCUCUCCUAACUGGCUAGAUGAUGAUUGCUUUCUAUCUUUUUCUUUAACCGGAGACCUGUCUCAAGCGGACAGCUUCGAUCGUUGAGGAGGGGACUCUACAUUGGCGCCAUCUUGCCGCUUCUUUGAUGCUGGAUGUGUGUCAGUUAACUCUCUGGUCUCUUGUUUGCUACUUGUCUGAUUUUUCUAGACUGUUCAGGCAGGUACUGUGGCACUCGCCUCUGUGCGAGCCGGAUUUGACAGUUGUGUAGUAUCCAGUUUCACUUCAGUUCUCUGUCGCCAUUGGAUUUAAUAUAUGAUUUUGAAAUCACCUUUUCCCCUCGCAGUUUGCCAGUCUACCCAUUCUUUUUUUUUGUGUGUGUGUGUUGAGCUGCACCGGCAUGCUUCGUUUGUAGGUUUUUAUGUUUUGUGUUUUAUGGGUAUUAAUGUGUGGCCCUGUCCCUUCGCUAUUUUGUGUCUUUGUGUUAGUUGCCUUACUUCCCGUUGUAAGCAGUAGAAUUUCUUACAUAAAUUCCCCAUCAUCAUUAUGUAUCAUUUUUUUGCUUUUUUCUUUUUUCUUGAUCAAAAUUCUCAACUUCGUGACUUGAUGUGGCCAAACUUCACGUGAUGCUUUUUACCAGAGAUUUUCUUUUAAAUAUUUGCCAAACUUUAUCACAUAUUAGACGACUUAUCAGUCAAGGAGAGAUGGGUGAAGUUCAUCGCUUAUUCCUUAAGAAUGUAAUAAUCUCUUACAUCACCAUUUCGUGCACGGCAGCAUUAGUUGACAGUUUCUUUAGUAUUCAUUGCACUUUUCUGAGACUGGAGUUGCACUUCCAGUGGACGAGGAACGUAUACAACGCGUUCGUGGGAUAGGCAGCACCAUUAGCGAAGGGGACAAAACUUCUUGACAUCUAAUUCACUUCUGUAACGUUGAAUGACUUCCCUUAGGCCGCGUCGUCAGACAUUAUUCUUGCAUUACAUUGUUAUUGGCUCAAUGAAGCGAGAAACGAGGCACAUAGGAAAAACAGCUUGUCCAGUCACGUACCCCCCUCUUCUCCCGUUGUCAAGCAAAACAUUAAUCAACAGUCAACAGGUGAGAAUAAUGAUCGUAAUUAUAGGAGUAUAAAUGGCAUGUUUACAAACAUUUAUAACAAAACACACGUUCUGUUUUAAUAUUUACGAAAGGUGUCAAUGCGUAGUUAAUGAACUGCCUAAUGAUCCUUACAGUC